rnacentral:rRNA from 1 species
GCCACGGCCAUACCAGCCUGGGUACGCCCGAUCUCGUCUGAUCUCGGAAGCUAAGCAGGGUCGGGCCUGGUUAGUACUUGGAUGGGAGACCGCCUGGGAAUACCAGGUGCUGUAAGCA